GUUUCUAUGGUGUAGGUAACGCACAUUAGAUUUUCAUUCUAAAGGAAUAAAUUUGAUUUAUUAGAAAUG
rnacentral:tRNA from 2 species